rnacentral:rRNA from 1 species
UACGUAGGGUGCGAGCGUUGUCCGGAAUUACUGGGCGUAAAGAGCUCGUAGGUGGUUUGUCACGUCGUCUGUGAAAUUCCGGGGCUUAACCUCGGGCGUGCAGGCGAUACGGGCAAUACUUGAGUGCUGUAGGGGAGACUGGAAUUCCUGGUGUAGCGGUGAAAUGCGCAGAUAUCAGGAGGAACACCGAUGGCGAAGGCAGGUCUCUGGGCCACUACUGACGCUGAGAAGAGAAAGCAUGGGGAGCGAACAGGAUUAGA